UGCUGGCGACCAUAGCAAGAGUGAACCACCUGAUC
rnacentral:sRNA from 1 species